AUUGAACGCUGGCGGCAGGCCUAACACAUGCAAGUCGAACGAGUGGCGGACGGGUGAGUAAUGUCUGGGAAACUGCUCGAUGGAGGGGGAUAACUACAGGAAACGGUAGCUAAUACCGCAUACCAUCGGAUGUGCCCCGAUGGGAUUGGCUUGUAGGUGCGGUAACGGCUCACCUAGGCGACGAUCCCUAGCUGGUCUGAGAGGAUGACCAGCCACACUGGAACUGAAACACGGUCCAGCCUCCUACGGGGGGCAGCAUUGGGGAAUAUUGCACAUUGGGCGCAAGCCUGAUGCAGCCAUGCCGCGUGUAUGUAGAAGGCCUUCGGGUUGUAAAGUACUUUCAGCGGGGAGGCGUUACCCGCAGAAGAAGCACCGGCUAACUCCGUGCCAGCAGCCGCGGUAAUAC
rnacentral:rRNA from 1 species